rnacentral:rRNA from 1 species
GAGUUUGAUUCAUGGCUCAGGAUGAACGCUAGCGACAGGCUUAACACAUGCAAGUCGAGGGGCAGGCAUGAUUUGUAGCAAUACAGAUUGAUGGCGACCGGCGCACGGGUGAGUAACGCGUAUGCAACUUACCUAUCAGAGGGGGAUAGCCCGGCGAAAGUCGGAUUAAUACCCCAUAAAACAGGGGUCCCGCAUGGGAAUAUUGUUAAAGAUUCAUCGCUGAUAGAUAGGCAUGCGUUCCAUUAGGCAGUUGGCGGGGUAACGGCCCACCAAACCGACGAUGGAUAGGGGUUCUGAGAGGAAGGUCCCCCACAUUGGUACUGAGACACGGACCAAACUCCUACGGGAGGCAGCA